GUUCAGUUUACAUUGAGGUGCAAGUUUCCCAUUAAUACACAUUUGUUGAGAAAUGUAGUCUGACAGUCCAGUGUCAGCAAUGAGGAAUCAGUCAGCAAUAAUAACGGAGAUCCAGGAGACAAGUAACUAGGCAGUUCAGGGUCGGCAACAAGAUUUCAAUCAGCAACGAUAAGGAAGAUCCCGGAGAGGAGUGAUUGGGCAGUCUGGGUUGAGCAACAAGAUUUUAAUCAGCAACAAUAAGGGAGAUCCUAUAGAGGAGUAAUUAGACAGUCCGGGAGGAUCAAUAGGAGGUAGUUAUUCAGGGGAGUGUUGGAGAGUCACUUGAACUCAAAUAGACAAAACCUGAAGUGGAGAGAAAAAGAUUAUACCUCACUGAAGUUUCAACACAUUUGUUUAUUAUUUACAUUAAUUGUGCACAGAGGCACUGACGUUGAACAUUUAAAUAACGUAACGUUACCUAUGUCAGUGUUUCCCUAAAGAAACAGG